GUGCUUACUUUGGCAGCAUUUAUGCUAAAAUUGGAACGAUACGGAGAAGAUUAGCAUGGCUGCUGCACAAGGAUGACAUGCAAAUUUGUGAAGCAUUCCAUAGUUUU
ensembl:snRNA U6 U6 spliceosomal RNA